rnacentral:snoRNA from 1 species
UCACUGUGAUGACUGAGUUCCAACCAUUCGUAGUUUCCACCAGAAAGGUUUUUCCUUCAUGUUGGCUAGCCCUUCCUUGGAUGUCUGAGUGA